rnacentral:lncRNA from 1 species
GGUAGAUAACUCCUAUAAAAUUUCAUCGAAUCGCUUCGAUCCAAAUUAGCCAAAAAUUCCUGAGGAUUUGACGAACAAUGUGUAAAAAGAAUUUUGUCGAUAUCUUUUUAUCUUACGAAGGAGAUGCACACAGAUGAUAAACAGUGAAUAGGGAGAUAACUCUCACAAAGAAAAUGGUUCGGCUUAGCAGGGUGAAAUUUAAAAGCGCAUAAACUAUACAAUACAAUAUGAAAAAUAUCUAAGCGACAUAUUGCGAAACAAACAUUUAUCGCAAGAACAAAAUUUGGCGGAAAAAAAAAAUAAUAAUCAGAAGAAAAACAAUAAGUCUUUCCACAGAAAAGUGGAAAGACUUAAUAAUAAUAAUAAUCAGAACAAAAACAAUAAGUCUUUCCACAGAAAAGUGGAAAGACUUAAUAAUUAAC